GAUGAACGCUAGCGGCAGGCCUAACACAUGCAAGUCGAGGGGUAGGGGAAGCUUGCUUCCUUGAGACCGGCGCACGGGUGCGUAACGCGUAUGCAAUCUACCUUAUACAGAGGGAGAGCCCAGUGCAAUAUGGAUUUAUACCUCAUAGUAUUAUUGAAUGGCAUCAUUUAAUAAUUAAAGUUCCAGCGGUAUAAGAUGAGCAUGCGUCCCAUUAGUUAGUUGGUAAGGUAACGGCUUACCAAGACAAGGAUGGGUAGGGGUCCUGAGAGGGAGAUCCCCCACACUGGUACUGAGACACGGACCAGACUCCUACGGGAGGCAGCAGUGAGGAAUAUUGGUCAAUGGACGCAAGUCUGAACCAGCCAUGCCGCGUGCAGGAUGACGGUCCUAUGGAUUGUAAACUGCUUUUAUACAGGAAGAAACCCUCGGACGUGUCCGAGCUUGACGGUACUGUAGGAAUAAGGAUCGGCUAACUCCGUGCCAGCAGCCGCCGUAACAC
rnacentral:rRNA from 1 species